UUUGCCCUUUUCUUCCAUCCACCAAACUACGUCAUUUCACAAUCCCUUCUCCUCCCUCAACCUCACACUUUCACAGAAGCUCUCUCAUCUCUCAUAUAUCAUUGACGCGAGCCCAGAUUUCUCCUUCUAUCAGCAUCAUCCGAGAAGCUCGUCGUCGGUCUCCUCCGGUCUCCGAUCUCGCGUGCCUUCCUUGCCGUCGUCGUCACUAGCGGCAGUAGCCGGAACUUUCCGACCUGGACGUCGUCGCCGCUCCGUGUCUUGUCACUGCCUCGCAGUCAGUCUCGCGCGCCGUCAUUGCGCCCGUCGACGCCGACACAGAAGCAGCAGGUCCCCGACUUCCUCCUCGCCUUCAGCAACUCCUCGGCUUCCUUCGCACAACCUGGUCCCAAUUUGGUCUGGGAUAUGUUAAGCAAUGAAGAGGUGGUUGAGAUAGUAUCCACGACACCGACUCGAGCAUCAGCAGCAAGGGUUCUGGUGGAUUCUGCGGCCCGAGAGUGGAAACUCAAGUAUCCCACGUCAAAGAUGGAUGAUUGUGCUGUUGUAUGCCUUUUUUUGGAUGGUAAAAUGGAUGUGGAAUCUGAUUGUGAUGAGCAAUGCUAUUCUUCUGCAACAAUCCAAAGCAACCAUUCGGGUAAUCCAGUUGAGUCCGAUGAUGGUCAAAUGGCCGAGCCUUCUUUGCACAGAAACUUCACUGUAUGAACCUCGGAAGAAAAUCAAACCUAUGGAGGAAUAUCUGUUGAUGGUGAGGAUGGAGCUUCAGCAGCAGUAGCAGCUGAAGAUCAAAAUUGGUCGGGUUUCGAAGGUGUCAC